rnacentral:rRNA from 1 species
UACAGAGGUCCCAAGCGUUGUUCGGAUUCACUGGGCGUAAAGCGUGCGCAGGCGGUUUUGUAAGCCAGAUGUGAAAUCCCCGGGCUUAACCUGGGAAUGGCAUUUGGGACUGCAAGGCCUGAGUGCGGCAGAGGAGACUGGAAUUCCCGGUGUAGCAGUGAAAUGCGUAGAUAUCGGGAGGAAUACCGAUGGCGAAGGCAGGUCUCUGGGCUGACACUGACGCUGAGGCGCGAAAGCUAGGGGAGCGAACGGG